rnacentral:rRNA from 1 species
UACGUAGGGUGCAAGCGUUAAUCGGAAUUACUGGGCGUAAAGCGUGCGCAGGCGGUUGAUGUAAGACAGAUGUGAAAUCCCCGGGCUCAACCUGGGAACUGCAUUUGUGACUGCAUCGCUGGAGUGCGGCAGAGGGGGAUGGAAUUCCGCGUGUAGCAGUGAAAUGCGUAGAUAUGCGGAGGAACACCGAUGGCGAAGGCAAUCCCCUGGGCCUGCACUGACGCUCAUGCACGAAAGCGUGGGGAGCAAACAGG